CAUGGGAUGAGGGGCUAGGUGGUGAUUGUCAAUCUGUUGCUGUGUGUGUGUGUAGAAAAGGCUCUAAGGAAAGCUAGACUUUUAUUAACAGACUUGUAUUCUGAAAACUUAAGAGUGCAUUUCCUGAUGCUUCCAGUAGGAGGCGUUACAGUUAUAGUUUCACUUUUCUGCUGCUUUCAUUAUUCAGUCAGAGAUCGACGGCUGUGCAGCUUAAGUUUAAUCCUGUCACUCCUGAAGUUCGUUUGGUGUUUUAAGUUUUCCAAGUGUUAGUGCAUGACCAUAAAACUAAAUAUCAAUACACUUUGGAAAGAAGUUCCAGUCUCCUCAUUUGUUGUGUCCUGACCGACACCCAGGAUUGUUUGCUGAACAUAAUUUGAACUAGAGCCUAGCAGUUUCCUUUCCUCUCCAACAGUGUGUGUGUGUGUGUAAGCCAGUAGAGUCCAACAGGUGUCCUUGACAGGGAGCAGGAAUUUCAGAGCAUCUCCUUAUCUUACUAUCUGAGAGAAGUUGUUUUUCUCCAGCUGAGGCCGUCUGGCAGGGAAAAAAAACAGGGGAACCGAAAGAGUAGAAAAGUACUUCAACUUUAGGUCAACUUCAGGAAAUUUUCACAGAUAUUUAAUGUCCGUCACUCGUCUCCAGAUCUGGCCAAAUGUUGUUGCAAAGCCGCUAGAUUCACCCCAAUGUUUUCCAAUUUGCAGUCUAGGACCAUAGUCUGAGUAUUAGCGACCCUACCCAUCAGCGUUUCAAUCAAGCCGGCCAGCCUGGUGGGGUUUUGAGCAGCACUGACAGCUUUCAUCAAUCAUCGAUACCCCA
rnacentral:lncRNA from 1 species